rnacentral:lncRNA from 1 species
GUGAAAAAUAUUAAAAUUGUUAAAAUUUUUGUCAAGUGUGACUUGCCGGAACUCCUAGGUUGGUAAGUGUGGAGUAGGAAUUGGCAUCUUUCUACAAGUGGUUGAAAGGGAUUUUCAAUUACAAGUGGGUAAUCAAGGUCAUUAAGUUGAACUUGAUUUAACUUUCCUGCAAGUGGUUAAGAAAAAGGGGAUUUAUUCAUAAUAUGAAGAAAGAACAAAAUGAUGAACUCAACCCCAAUCUUACAAGUGGUAAAAUCAACAAAACUUAUUUUCCGGAAAAACCAUUUUUGAUUAAAACAAACUUAAGUGUUUUGAAAUCAUAAUAGGAAAAUAGUUUGUUGUUAGUGGGAGUUCUGAUUGUUUAUGCCAGUUGGAUAGAGAUUUGAAGCUUCAAAGAUCAGUUGUCACUUUAUCUGUACAGUUUGUUUUCAAAUUUUCCCAGAAAAUCAAAAUUGAAACAUAUUUUGAUUUUAGGGGGAGUAAAAAUUUAGGAAAUUUCGAAAAUUUGAAAAAUCCAAAAAAACAUUAAAAAAAUUCAUAAACUGAGUUUUGUUGUAAAAAGAGGAAAUAAUAGUAUAUCAGUAGACUAUCACAGCACGUUAAAGAUUUGGAAAGUCAAAUGUGAUAAACGAUCUCAUUGUUGAUGUGUCAGUAGGUUUUUAUACAUUCAGUAUAUUCUUUUUCGAGAUAUAAACGUAAAUUCAAAUGCUUACUUAUCUCGUGGGGAACAUCUCUCGGAUAUAUGGGUAACCCCCGAAAUCUUGGUUGAAAGAUUUUCUAUUUCUGACAUACUAGGACUUUGUGCGUGGUGAUAUCUGGGGUAUUAUACCAGGACUUCUGAUUUUGCGGGAGUAAUAGCCUAGUCCUCGUAUAAUACUUUGCAUAAGCUUUAAUCUUAAAGUCAGCCCUCAGCAUAAAAAAUGAUGAAACAUUGAAAAAUGCUAAUCAUGUGCUGUUGAAUAAAAGAUCCCCAAACGGGACACACCUAAAGUCGAGCCGUCAUCUCUCUGAUUGAACGGAAGUUCUAGCCGGAGCUCUUACGGUCUCGCAUUUACCCGUUUACAGAUAUCAUUAGUGUCCACUCACCUGUAAGACUGAAUAUAGAAAUCUGGAUACGAGAGUAUAUUCUGAGGUGGUACACUCGAAUAAGUUUAAGUUCUUAAAACAUUAAUUUCGUAUCUCGAAACAGUUGAACUUUGUGUGAAAAUUUAAGUGGACCAAUAUACUGACAAUCUAUGUGAAUCGUUUAGAACUUAAAAUGUCUAAAGCUUAACGGUGUUGGUGAUAUGUUUCAAAAACUGAUAUGAUCCUCUUACACAAACUCACAAAAAUAUUGUUUGUAAAUAUGUCUUUACAGCAUUUCUGUAAAAUAAAAAAUUCAAAAAGAUUUUCGAAGUGUUUUAGCAUAAAUUUUUGAAAAAUUCAAAAAGAUUUUUGAUAAACUGAUGUUGAAAAGCUGAUUUUCAGAAUUCCAAGUGCUAAACAUGAUAAAUAUCAGGUGAAGGGGAGUCUGUUUAAAAUGAGAAAAGAUUUGAAUGUUUUUAUCUACAAGUGAGAAUGUGCACGAAUGAAGUCAUGAAAAAGCCAGGUUCUGAUUCCUGAGCAGAAGUUGAGCCAGAUUGUGAUUCUAGAACCUGUGAAAGCCAGAUUAUGAUCCCAGCACAACUUAAGGGGGAUCAUGUUAGAAAAGAGGAGUUUGUAGAUGAAUAGAGCCAGAUCCAGAUUCUGAAUUUAUAUUCAUACAAGUUGCUGAUGCUAAUGAGGUUAAGAAUUCAAAAGAUCUGAUCAAGAAAAUGUGAAGAGUCAGAUUGAAUUUCUGGAAA